AAAGCCACGCAGGGGAGUCCCGCCAAGGGGACUGAGAGGCGUCAUGGUGCGGGGCAACCCGAACCGGCGGCGCGACCCUUUGAACCUGACCCAGUUGAUACUGGCGUAGGAAGCAAGGACGCGCCUUUU
rnacentral:ncRNA from 2 species